CACACCUAAGCAUGCCUUUGUGGUAUAACAUACAUAUUUGCCUUUAUUUCUUAUUUUUGACUUCUUAUUUUCAAGGUGUACAAUGCAACAUUGAAGUCUUCCAGACCCCACUAAUGAUUGCUGAAGAAGGACAGGAUAUCACAUUAAGAUGUAACCACUCUGUUAGAAGCUACGACUUUCUGGCCUGGUACAAACAGCUCCCAGGAUCAUCCCUUGAGAUCUGCGCUUCAGGACUCCUGCAAGGCAGUAACAUUUGCCGUGUUACUAUGAGUAUAGAUAAGGAGAGCUUGUCAACACAACUUUCUAUCAGCGGAGUACAAGUGGAAGAGUCAGCCCUGUAUUACUGUGCUGUGAGUGACACAAUGACUGAAACACACAACACAGCUGUGCCAAAAGUCACCCCUAACCCACUUCAGUGCUUAAAGCACAAGACACUGUAUGCUUUGUGUUCACUACAUAUUUAUUCAUCAGAGGUCAGAUGA